CUCAUGGCCAAACGGCGACUUUGUAACUUCCGGUUGUUCUUUAAACCGGGACCUAAAAUCUGGGAAAUUACACCCAAUAACCUUGGAAAUGGACUAAAAUCGGCUAUUUGUGCAUUUCGUUCACAUACAAACUCUAAAAGGGUCGUUGAUUGAAGCAAAAAAGAAAUCAUUGACAUACCAGAGAUGGUCAACCACCCUGAAAAAAUCCCCAAUUUUUCUCCGAUUGCCUCAUCCUUUCGAGCUAAAAAUGAACUAGGUUUCCAUCAAAUAAGGUUCUGGGUCCAAAAGUUGAGGCUCAGAUCUGUGUAAAAUGGGGCAAAGAGGAGAAGACAACAACGCCAUGGCUGCAAAACGAACCGGUU